rnacentral:rRNA from 1 species
GGGAAUCUACCCAGAUCUACGGAACAACAGAGGGAAACUUCUGCUAAUACCGUAUACGCCCUACGGGGGAAAGAUUUAUCGGAUUUGGAUGAGCCCGCGUAAGAUUAGCUAGUUGGUGAGGUAACGGCUCACCAAGGCGACGAUCUUUAGCUGGUCUGAGAGGAUGAUCAGCCACACUGGGACUGAGACACGGCCCAGACUCCUACGGGAGGCAGCAGUGGGGAAUAUUGGACAAUGGGCGCAAGCCUGAUCCAGCCAUGCCGCGUGAGUGAUGAAGGCCUUAGGGUUGUAAAGCUCUUUCAGUGGGGAAGAUAAUGACGGUACCCACAGAAGAAGCCCCGGCUAACUUCGUGCCAGCAGCCGCGGUAAUACGAAGGGGGCUAGCGUUGUUCGGAUUUACUGGGCGUAAAGCGCACGUAGGCGGUUUGUUAAGUCAGAGGUGAAAUCCUGGAGCUCAACUCCAGAACUGCCUUUGAUACUGGCAAGCUCGAGUCCGGAAGAGGUAAGUGGAACUCCUAGU